CUGCGAAGUCCAGCUGCGCGCGCCUUGGGAUUGACCGUCCACGCUCGCCCGGGAGGUCCGACGCGCCCUCCGCCAGCCGACAGACACAGCCGCACGCACUGCAGUGUUCUCCCUGUGGCUCGGACACAUAGUAUGACCAUUAGGUGUUUCGUCUCCCACCCACUUUCUAUGGAAAACCAAGGGGAUCGGGCCAUGAUAGCCACUGGCAGCUUUGAAGAACGGGACACCUUUAGAGAAGCUUGAUCUUGAAGGCCUCACCGUGAGACCUUACAAAGCUGGCUCUGACCUGGACCCCUCAUCCCUGCCUGUCUUGUGGUUUAAGUGUGGAUCCCCCUAAGUUGGAGGAAAGGAAACUGGCCCAAACAAAAAGGAGAGCAGUUUUCUCUGCAUCACGUGCUCUCCAGAUGGACCACAGAAGCAGGAAUGUGGGCAUCAUCAGUGAAAUUUCUGCAUCCAGCAGAGAAAGGGCUGGUCCAGUGGCUGUUUAUGAGGCAGCGCUAGGAGAGCUGUGAUCCAGACUCUCCCUGCAGUGAAA
rnacentral:sRNA from 1 species